UACGGGGGGGGCAAGCGUUGUUCGGAAUUACUGGGCGUAAAGGGUGCGUAGGCGGUCCGCUAAGUUGGAUGUGGAAACUCUGGGCUUAACCCAGAGCCUGCAUUCAAAACUGACGGGCUAGAGUUCUGGAGGGGGUAGCGGAAUUCCUGGUGUAGCGGUGAAAUGCGUAGAUAUCAGGAGGAACACCGGUGGCGAAGGCGGCUACCUGGACAGAAACUGACGCUGAGGCACGAAAGCUAGGGGAGCAAACAGG
rnacentral:rRNA from 1 species